GACGAACGCUGGCGGCGUGCUUAACACAUGCAAGUCGAACGGAAAGGCCCUGCUUUUGUGGGGUGCUCGAGUGGCGAACGGGUGAGUAACACGUGAGUAACCUGCCCUUGACUUUGGGAUAACUUCAGGAAACUGGGGCUAAUACCGGAUAGGAGCUCCUGCUGCAUGGUGGGGGUUGGAAAGUUUCGGCGGUUGGGGAUGGACUCGCGGCUUAUCAGCUUGUUGGUGGGGUAGUGGCUUACCAAGGCUUUGACGGGUAGCCGGCCUGAGUGGGUGACCGGCCACAAUGGGACUGAGAUACGGCCCAGACUCCUACGGGAGGCAGCAGUGGGGAAUAUUGCACAAUGGGCGGAAGCCUGAUGCAGCAACGCCGCGUGCGGGAUGACGGCCUUCGGGUUGUAAACCGCUUUCGCCUGUGACGAAGCGUGAGUGACGGUAAUGGGUAAAGAAGCACCGGCUAACUACGUG
rnacentral:rRNA from 1 species